AGAUUGAACGCUGGCGGCAGGCCUAACACAUGCAAGUCGAGCGGCAGCACGGGUACUUGUACCUGGUGGCGAGCGGCGGACGGGUGAGUAAUGCCUAGGAAUCUGCCUGGUAGUGGGGGAUAACGCUCGGAAACGGACGCUAAUACCGCAUACGUCCUACGGGAGAAAGCAGGGACCUUCGGGCCUUGCGCUAUCAGAUGAGCCUAGGUCGGAUUAGCUAGUUGGUGAGGUAAUGGCUCACCAAGGCGACGAUCCGUAACUGGUCUGAGAGGAUGAUCAGUCACACUGGAACUGAGACACGGUCCAGACCUCCUACGGGAGCAGCAGGUGGGGAAUAGUU
rnacentral:rRNA from 1 species